rnacentral:rRNA from 1 species
GACGAACGCUGGCGGCGUGCCUAAUACAUGCAAGUAGAACGCUGAAGGAGGAGCUUGCUUCUCUGGAUGAGUUGCGAACGGGUGAGUAACGCGUAGGUAACCUGCCUGGUAGCGGGGGAUAACUAUUGGAAACGAUAGCUAAUACCGCAUAAUAGUAGAUGUUGCAUGACAUUUGCUUAAAAGGUGCAAUUGCAUCACUACCAGAUGGACCUGCGUUGUAUUAGCUAGUUGGUGAGGUAAUGGCUCACCAAGGCGACGAUACAUAGCCGACCUGAGAGGGUGAUCGGCCACACUGGGACUGAGACACGGCCCAGACUCCUACGGGAGGCAGCAGUAGGGAAUCUUCGGCAAUGGACGGAAGUCUGACCGAGCAACGCCGCGUGAGUGAAGAAGGUUUUCGGAUCGUAAAGCUCUGUUGUAAGAGAAGAACGAGUGUGAGAGUAGAAAGUUCACACUGUGACGUAUCUGCCAGAAAGAC